CUACUAUGUACAUAUGCAAAGAUAGUCUAACCAUCCCUCCUCUCUCUCUCUCUCUCUCUCUAGUAAGAUGGUGAACAACAGGGCUUUAGUUCUUAUCACUUAUUGUUGCUCCCUCUUCAUUUGGUUCCUCUUCAUUUCGAGUGCUAUGGCUGCAAGACAAUUACCCACUGUUUCUCAAACCGCAGCAUUCAGUUGUCCAACUACAAUUCAUGCCGACCCCCCUUCAAAUCCGUCACCUCCAUCCCGUCCAAGUCCGUCACCUACAGCCCCUAGCUGCGGAGCAAAAUCUGAAACAAACCCCUAAAAAGAGAGAAGAGAAGAGAAGUGAAGCAACCAUGUUAUAUUACUUCUAAGGGACUUAGAGAGGACCUUAAAUUUGCUGUCCCUUUAACUUUUUUUCACUUUUUUUCUUUUUUCAGUUCUUAUUAUAAGGAAGAGUCACGGUGUGAUUUCAUAUAUGUCUAUGUUGCCAAAAUUAUAUUGCCCUUUGUGCUUUGUGUGUGUUUGGAUUCAAUUUCAAGUCACUAUUUCAUAAUAAAUAGAAUUUAUAUUAAUACAA